CUAUCCUGUGAGAGUCUGUGCCCCAGACUCCUGCUGUGGUCACUUUUCCUGCUUGCCAGUAAAGGAAUUUCUCAAAAACAAAAGCAUGGGAGCCCACUGCCUUCAAUGGAAGCUUUUCUUUGAGCGUCUGCUGAUAAACUCCACAGAUCUGAUCAAGAAAUUCUCCUGCUCAAAAAUCUCCAGGGACUCUCUGUGGCCUACUAAGUAAAGUUUAAAAUCUUCUCUUUAGGAGCAAUUUCAUACUAUGUCCAAAAAUCAACCGAACUCUUUGAUCUAGCAAUACCACUACUAAGUCUAUAUCUCAAAGAGAUAAUAAAAAAUGUACAUGUACAAAAAUAUUUAUAGCAGCUCUUAUAGCAAUGAAUGGAAACUGGGGAAAAAUUGGAAAUUGAGGGAAUGCUCAUCAAUUGGGGAAUGGCUAAAUAAGUUGUAAUAUAUGAAUGCAAUUCAAUAAUAUUGUGCUAUAAAAAAUGAUGAACAAGAGGAUUUCAGAAAAACCAGAUCAAUGAAUGAUCAACUAUGAUUGACUUAGUUCUUCUCAGCAACACAAUGAUCCAAAGCAAUUCCAAAAUACUCAUAAUGGAAAAUGCUGGCCACAUUCAGAAAAAGAACUAUGGAUUUUGAAUGCAGUUUCAAGCAUACUAUUUUUAUUUCCUUUUUUUUUUUUUGUGGUGAUGGUGGUUUUUUUUACUUUCCUUCUGUUUCCUUUUUUAUAACAUGACUAAUGUGGAAAUAUGUUUAACAUGAUUGCAUUUAUAUAACCUAUACCAGAUUGCUUGCCAUCUUGGAAAGAGGGGAGAAAAGAGAGGGAGAAAAAUUUAGAACUCAACAUUAUAAAAAAUGAAUGUUGGAAAUGAUCUUUACAUGUAAUUAAAAAAAAUACUAUUUAUUAAAAAAAAGAAUUAAGAUUACCUAAUGUAUUAUUUCUUUCAAAUAACUGGCCUUUCUAAUGUAUAAAGGUCUGUCACCCCUUGUAUUGGGGUCUAUCCCUAAGUUGAGGGAAGUAAUUGUAAUGCAUUGCUUAAUAAAUCUAUUUGGUUAGAAGAUAGAUAAAUAAGUAGAUGAAGAAACAAAGGAAAUGAAGUGAAAUCUUCUUCUUGGAACUAAAGACCCUCCCACAAUUUAUUUAAUUGAAUUAAAUUAAAAUAUCCCUGUUUUAAUUAAGACUGUUCAUAUUAAUGUACUUAGCAAUUCAGGCAAAUUCAACUACUUUCUGACCUCAUCAGCUCCAUGAAUCUCACCCUCAUCUUACAAUGGAAAGAACCCUGGUUUAACAUCCUGCUUUUCUGAUCUUCAGUUUUCUCAUCUAUUAAAAAGAAGGAGUUGGACUAGUAGAUGAUCCCUGAGGUCCCUAAUGCCAUGUGCCAUAUUCCUAUCACCUUUGUUUGCACUGUCCCUUCCCCAUGCCCAAAAUGUCCUAUCUUUCUUUUUUGACUUCUUGAAUUCCAGCACUUUAUUUGAAAUCCCUCUCAAAUGCCACCUCUUCAUAAAAGCCUUCCUUUAUCCUUAGUCUUCCAACAAAAAGUCUCUUUCUCCCCUUAGAUUUCACAUAACACUUUUUAUUUAGUGAAGUUUGAAGAUUAUGUAAUAGGGCAGACUAUAAGUUCCAUGAGGAUAAGAACGUGUCAUAUUUAAUGUCUGCAUCAGAAUGAUUUCAGAAAAGCCUGGAAAGACAUAAACUAAUGCUGAGUGAAGAGAGCAGAACUGUGUACACAGUAACAGCAAUGAUGAGUGAUAUGAUGAACUUAACUCUUUUCAGCAGUAUAGUGAUUCAAGAUAAUUCCAAUGGUCUUGAGAUAGACACCAUCCACAUGCAGCAAGAGAAUCAUAGAGACUGAAUAUGGAUCAAAGCAUAGUAUUUUCCACAUUUUUGUUUGUUUGAUUGCUUGCUUGUAUUUUCCCUUUUUUUUUCUGAUUUUUCUUACACAACAUGACAAUUAUGGAAAUAUGUUAAAAAAAAAAAAUAUUGUGCAUGUAUAACCAACAUCAGAUUGCUUGUUGUCUAGGGGGUGGGGAGAAGAAUAAGGUAGAAAAAAAUUUAGAACACAAAACCUUAUAAAAAUGAAUGUCGAAUAUUAAUAUUUGCAUCCCUUUGGGUACCUAGAAUGGAAUUAUACACAUAAAAGCUAUGUAAUAAAUGUUUACUUUUGUCUUUA